CAGUCGCCACGGGAAUACGUAGGUGGCAAGCGUUGUCCGGAAUUAUUGGGCGUAAAGCGCGCGCAGGCGGUUUCUUAAGUCUGAUGUGAAAGCCCCCGGCUUAACCGGGGAGGGUCAUUGGAAACUGGGAGACUUAGAGUGCAGAAGAGGAGAGUGGAAUUCCAUGUGUAGCGGUGAAAUGCGUAGAUAUAUGGAGGAACACCAGUGGCGAAGGCGACUCUCUGGUCUGUAACUGACGCUGAGGCGCGAAAGCGUGGGGAGCAAACAGGAUUAGAUACCCCCGUAGUCCCUGUCUCUUAUA
rnacentral:rRNA from 1 species